rnacentral:rRNA from 1 species
UACGGAGGGUGCAAGCGUUAUCCGGAUUUACUGGGUUUAAAGGGUGUGUAGGCGGGUCUUUAAGUCCGUGGUGAAAUCUCCGAGCUUAACUUGGAAACUGCCAUUGAUACUAUUGAUCUUGAAUUUUGUUGAGGUGGGCGGAAUAUGUCAUGUAGCGGUGAAAUGCAUAGAUAUGUCACAGAACACCAAUUGCGAAGGCAGCUUACUAAGCUAUGAUUGACGCUGAGGCACGAAAGCGUGGGGAUCAAACAGG